GGUGGAUCUGUGGGCAGCAAACUGGCUGUCACUUUAGUCGGGCUGCCUUUCUCACUCUGGGAGCACACAGAGCACUACCUUCCUCUUUCUGGAUGGCCACAUCCAGCCAUUCGCAGAAAAUUCAGUCCGUUUUCCUAUUUGGCCAAAUCAUGGAACACAGGCCUGCCACAGGAUGCUGCUAGCAAGAGCUUCCUUGGUCAUGUGGAGAUGUGGGGCACAUCCUGGCAGGGUGCAUCAGCUUUCUAUGUGGCCUGUGGAGCCCAUGGGGCGCUCAGAUUCUGUUCCGCAGGAGGAUGGGCCUGACCCGCAGGCAGCCACCGGCUGGUGAUGUCAGUGGUGGACUCCAGACACACUGGAAGGCCCUGGGGGACUUGGCUGAUGACAGCGAGAGCUACUGUGUGCUGAGCCGCUUCUCUGUGCGACGCAGAACGCAGAGGGGAUCCUCAGGUAUGUUACAUCUGCUCCUUCUCACAGCCAGCUCAGCAGUGUGAUUGUCCACAGAUUGUUAAGGGAGGAACUGUGACUAGGUUUGUACCAAUUGCUUUAGCAAACUCACAAACUAGGGGACUGGCAGGGCUAGGAUUUGGACCCAAAUUUGCACCCCCCCCAAUCCUCCAUGAAAUAUUCACAUGUUAGAACCUACUAAGGAUCCUGAAUUUCUCAGCCUGCCUUUUCUUCUCUGUACAAAUGGGAAGAUAGUACUUGUGCUAUUUAUUUUCCUGCGAUAACACAGAAAACAACUGAAACAAUACUUGAGAAAACGCUUUGUAAGAUUAUUAAUGCUACAAAGAUAGGACCAAAACAGACAAAUAAAAACAGACUGAGCACCCAUAAUCUCCGAAGCACAAUUUCUGAGCAUGGGGAAUCUGGAAUCUUCAUGGCUGACCGGGGUAGUUAGGUUGAAAGGGAGAUAAACCUGGCAACUAAACUUAAUGUCUUCUUCUACAUGUAGCCCU
rnacentral:lncRNA from 1 species